rnacentral:rRNA from 1 species
UACGUAGGGGGCUAGCGUUGUCCGGAUUUAUUGGGCGUAAAGAGCGUGUAGGCGGCCGGGUAGGUCUGCUGUGAAAACUCGAGGCUCAACCUCGAGACGUCGGCGGAAACCAUCUGGCUAGAGUCCGGAAGAGGAGAGUGGAAUUCCUGGUGUAGCGGUGAAAUGCGCAGAUAUCAGGAAGAACACCAAUGGCGAAGGCAGCUCUCUGGGACGGUACUGACGCUGAGACGCGAAAGCGUGGGGAGCGAACAGG